UAUCAAAGUAGUUGGUCCACUUCAAAUGGGCCAUUUAGCCCAUUCUUUGAUAUACACAACCAAAGAAAGAAUCCAAUUUGAUGUUCAAAGGAAAAAACCAAGAGCAAGAGAAACCGGUGACUUAGGGGUGAAAGGUCUCCUUUUUUUUAUGGGAAUAUGCUGAAACUAGUUUCUGAAAUGUUGUGCGCUAGAGGAGGUCAGAAGUUGAGGCCUUAUCUAUGUGUGUGCAUACAUAACUUUGGCAGGAGUGACUGAAUGUUCUAGAUUCUGCCUUGUCGACUUGAAUGGUUCUCCAAUAGGACAUGGCUAGUUAUAUCUAAGCUCCACUUGUUAAUUCUGAGGUUUCUUGUUUGUUUUAUCCAGUAGUGUGUUUGUAUAUCUUUCAAACAAAGACUCUCUUUACGUAAAAUAAAUGCAGAAGAGUGCUUAUUAACUUUCAUACAAAUGACUCUAGGGUAACAUGACUGAUGAAUGUCUCAAAUUACUGGGGAUCAGUAUGUCUUCUUGUUUCCAUACAAAGAUUGUUGGAAUGAACUCUAUUGUUUCAGAACGUCAAUUUCAUAUUGAGAUAAAGGCUCAAGUGAGUCAAGAGUUAAUUUUUCUCUAGAGAGUCUAGACUCCUAACAAAUCUACAUUCACGGACAUCCAAGUUUGAUUGUCAGCCUCAUAUAACUAGAGCCUUAAUAAUUGGAAUAGUUUUAGAGUUUUAAUAGUGGACUUAUGUAGAAACAUGUUUAAGAAAUUGUUGGACCAUGUAAAUGAGGAGUAAUUGUUGUGCAGAUCUCACAUCAAGGCAAAAGCAGUAUGACUGAGCAAUAUUUAUAUCUUUCAUUAAGACAUGUUUAAAUGAAAAACGGUUCUAAAUAGUGUCAAGUAACUGGUAAGGUACUCUCUGAUGAUAGAACCAUGUAACUAUGAAAGGGUAAAGUUGCAAAUGGUAGAUUCCGAAGAAUGUAGGUCGUUUCCAAAUUGUAAAAAAUAUUUUGUUAUUCUUAGUUGCAAUGCAUUUUAUAAUCCGGUGGAAUAAUCGUACCUUGGACAUAAAGCAUUUUGAAGCAACCAUCAUUUUGUUGAAAUCAACUCUUUAUUGUUGGUUACACUUAAUUGAGCAAUCAGUUGGUUCUCCUUUGUUCUGAGAAUGCUUAUACAUAAAAAUGCUUGUAUUAUUUAUAUAUGUGAUUGCUUAAUUGUAUAUUAUGUAUAUGUGCAUUUUUUAUGUUAACUGUAUGUGAUAUUGUACAAGGUUGCAGUGAAUUGAUGUAAAGGCAUGAUGAAUGUAUGGAUUUGGGCUUUAUAGAAAUUGGCUUUAAUAAGAAGUGCUGACCUUAUGUCUCUUUAGUUUCCUGCUGUAAUCUUUUAACCUUUGCUUCUGUAUAAUUAAUGAAGCAGAAAUGCUCUGCAGCUUCAAGAAAAAGAUAGGUUCAGACUGUGUUGAGGGAAGAGAUUGUAGAAUCGGAGUACAAAUCCUUUUUAAGCUUUUAAAUUGGAUAUUUCACAAAACUUAAAACAAAACAAGUUCAUUAAAGUUCUGAAUCCCUUGUUUAUUUUUGGCUCAGUAUGAGCUCCGAGCUCGAAGUGAUUUUUGUCCUUCAAUUAAAAUAAGGAACGAGUCUUUUGUCCGGGAAAAGAAUGAUAAAGAAUGACUUGUGAGAAAGAGAGAGAAGUGAAACACUGUUGACUCCAUAUAGCACUUGAUGUCAGCCCUGCUUACAGGCUUUUAUACUCGUGGUUUCAUUGCCACUGUUGUGCGUUUGUGCUUAUAUUUAAAAUGUGGUCUUCCUCCUCCUUUGUUUGAAUGUAUGGGCUUAUUGUUAUACCAAACAUUGUUCCCCUUUGUUUCGUGUAUUCUUGAGAAAUAUGAGGGAUGGAAAAGGGAGAAAAGAUUAGCACUCAAGUAUCACAGUGUGGUGCUUCUGUGUGUUAGCCUUGUUGAAGAAUAGGAGUUUGAAUCUUUGUGAUUUAAUUAUGUUUUUAAUUUUUUGCUUUAUAUGUUAUGACUUAUGAGUAUUUUGGCCUAUGUAAUUUCUUUCAAUCUAAGACUAUUACAUCUAUUUAGUUAAUUUAAUAUUUUUUAUUUUUAUACUUAAUGUCGCUUUUUUUACAAAAAGCGCGCGCUUCGCUUCACGCUUCUCGCUUCUGUGAAGCAAGCCCUCGUCGCUUUUUU